rnacentral:rRNA from 1 species
ACACGUAGGGGCCUGACGUUGUUCGGAAUCAUUGGGCGUAAAGGGCGCGCAGGCGGCCGUCCAAGUCCGGUGUUAAAUGGUCGGGCUCAACCCGAUCAUGCGCUGGAAACUGGGCGGCUUGAGUCCCGUAGGGGAUGCCGGAAUUCCAGGUGUAGGGGGGAAAUCUGUAGAUAUCUGGAAGAACACCGAUGGCGAAGGCAGGCAUCUGGCCGGAGACUGACGCUGAGGCGCGAAGGCGCGGGGAGCGAACAGGUUUAGAUACCCUGGUAGUCCGCGCAGUAAACGAUGCGCACCAGGUGUCGGGCGGCAGCGCCCGGUACCGGAGCUAACGCGAUGAGUGCGCCGCCUGGGGAGUAUGCCCGCAAGGGUGAAACUAAAAGGAAUUGGCGGG